UUCGCUAUUUUGUCAUCCAAAACACAAGCAUUUGAUUGGUUUCGCUAUUUUGUCAUCCAAAACACAAGCAUUUGAUUGGUUUCGCUAUUUUGUCAUCUAAAACACAAGCAUUUGAUUGGAUCGGAAUUUUGUCAUGGCUUCGCUAUUUCCAUUUCGCAACGGAGUAGAAACGAAUUCGACUACCCGGCGAAGAGAAUAUUUCUCAGAGAAACAUUCCAAAAUCAUGUUGCGCAUGCGUUCAACCUUUUCGCGUGAAAUUUUUCGCAUUUCGGUUGUCGUGGAAUUAGGCCUAUAAGGAUAACUGAGAUAAAACGUGCAACGACGAUGAAUAAUAUUUAAUGAAGUUGAGACAAAGGAUUUGUGCAUGGUGAGGUACAGUUCAACAUCAAACAAAAGUCUUCUAUUUU